rnacentral:rRNA from 1 species
CAUUGUUGGAGAGUUUGAUCCUGGCUCAGGACGAACGCUGGCGGCGUGCUUAACACAUGCAAGUCGAACGCUGAAGCACUUUCGGGUGUGGAUGAGUGGCGAACGGGUGAGUAACACGUGGGUAAUCUGCCCUGCACUCUGGGAUAAGCCUUGGAAACGGGGUCUAAUAC